rnacentral:rRNA from 1 species
GGCUCAGGACGAACGCUGGCGGCGUGCUUAACACAUGCAAGUCGAGCGGUAAGGCCCUUCGGGGUACACGAGCGGCGAACGGGUGAGUAACACGUGGGUGAUCUGCCUUGCACUCUGGGAUAAGCCUGGGAAACUGGGUCUAAUACCGGAUAUGACCAUGGGAUGCAUGUCUUGUGGUGGAAAGAUUUAUCGGUGCGAGAUGGGCCCGCGGCCUAUCAGCUUGUUGGUGGGGUAAUGGCCUACCAAGGCGACGACGGGUAGCCGACCUGAGAGGGUGACCGGCCACACUGGGACUGAGACACGGCCCAGACUCCUACGGGAGGCAGCAGUGGGGAAUAUUGCACAAUGGGCGGAAGCCUGAUGCAGCGACGCCGCGUGAGGGAUGACGGCCUUCGGGUUGUAAACCUCUUUCGACAGGGACGAAGCGUGAGUGACGGUACCUGUAGAAGAAGCACCGGCCAACUACGUGCCAGCAGCCGCGGUAAUACGUAGGGUGCGAGCGUUGUCCGGAAUUACUGGGCGUAAAGAGCUUGUAGGCGGUUCGUCGCGUCGAUUGUGAAAACUUGCAGCUCAACUGCAAGCUUGCAGUCGAUACGGGCGGACUAGAG